UGCGCAGGCGGAAUAUUAAGUCAGUGGUGAAAUCCUACAGCUCAACUGUAGAACUGCCAUUGAUACUGAUAUUCUUGAGUAUAGUUGUAGUGGGCGGAAUAUGUCAUGUAGCGGUGAAAUGCUUAGAUAUGACAUAGAACACCGAUCGCGAAGGCAGCUCACUAAGCUAUAACUGACGCUCAGGCACGAAAGCGUGGGGAGCAAACAGGAUUAGAUACCCUGGUAGUCC
rnacentral:rRNA from 1 species